UUUAAAUGUAAUUAAGUUUUCUAGUGAUUAAUAGUUAUAGUCUUCAAAAUUAAAAAUUUUGGCGGUAUUUUAGUCUUUUCAGAGGAACCUGUUCUAUAAUCGAUAAUCCACGAUUUAAUGUACUUAAUCUAAAUAAUUUAUAUAUCGUCGUAGUUGAAUAUUUUAUAAGAAUAUAAUAUUCAAAAUUUUAAAUUAAAAAAUAAAUCAGAUCAAGGUGUAGUUUAUGAUUAAGAAGAAAUGGGUUACAAUAAAGUUAUUUAUACAGUUAAUUUAAUUUAAAUUGAAUUUUAAGGUGGAUUUGAAAGUAAUAAAAUUACAAUUAUUUUUUAUGAUUUUAGCUCUAAAAUAUGC
rnacentral:rRNA from 1 species